AAAUUUUUGUCGUCAUUAGAAAAGGGACAAAGGAAUUGCAUUUCUGGUUUGCAGAUUUCUAACCAGUUUGUGGACUUUUUGUUCCCAAACAGCUUCUUCAGAGUCUGUCAGUGAGUUGCAGAAUUAGAGUGUUUAUUUAUAGGUUAGAGGCCAAGAAUGCUGAUUUGGCUGUUAAUUGUGGCAGGAUGUGACUUUUUAAAGCUCUGAACACAUACCUAGAUGCAGCAGAAAUGCUCACAUAUUGACUGUUUAACUCAGUGAAACACAGCUUUGGGUUUGAGCUUUUGAAAAUGUUUCCAAUGUACUAUGCUUCUAAAUGCAGAAGCUUCUAAAUGCACGACCUUCAAUAUUUUUUGUUCUUGAACAAUCUCUGAAAGCUGUUCCAAACAUGGCAUUUCUUGAAUGUGUAACAUUAUUCUCGAAUGUGUAAAAGUGGCUGGCCACCUUUCUCAUGCCUUAUACUCCACCUAAAAUAUGCAAUAAGCACUCAAGCAGGAGUCGGGGGUCGGGGGUGUCUUCGGAUGGUUUUUUAACCAUCCUGAAGAAACGGCCCUUCUCCUCACAGCUCACCACAACCUUGAGAAAGGACCCCGUGUAUAUAACCCUUGUUUCCAGAUGAAGAAAAGGGACACAUUGAUUUUAUUUCUUCUUUUAGGUCAAUCUCUAGUUAGAUAGCAUGAUCUGUUUGUAGUAUGCUGGAUGCAAAAAUGAAAAUUAAUAGGCAAAAUUUUUAGAGAAGUAUUCUAAUUUUAUAUUUAAAUGUUUAUAAUAGCAAUUUGUUUGUAAAAACUGGCCUUAGCACACAGAUGAGAACCAGCGCUUUUUGGAAAGCCUCAUCUUUGUCCUGGGAAUUUAAUCACCUGGAGCUCUUACCCAAAUGAUAAAGACCUAGGAGGUCUUGAAACAUGUAAAUAGUGUAUAGUUUAAAGAUGGAUAAAAAUCAUUUUCUAAAACAGAAGAAAACAGGUCAGCUAUGUUAUAGGUGUGUCACUAGGCUGCAUUUAAAAGUCUUUUCAAAAUUCUAUUAUAGUUAGAAAUGUCAUUAAAUGCACUCUUCCAACAAAGCUGGACCAACAGACGGUCCACUUUUCUACCAGGUUUGUUUCCUUCUAUGGAGGCUAUGAGCAAAACGAAGCAACUGAAUACCAAGGCAAUACAGAAAUGAGGCCCAGUUCACGUUGAUGAGGGUUCAAUCAUCAAACGUAGUAGGCUUGUGGAUAACAUAGCCAGGAAAACGUGCAGCCCUGGACACUCCGCUCCUGGUUUCUCUGGAGCAGAAAGAAGAAUAAAGCCUCAUGCCAUCCAGGAAAAGGCUCUAUUUCAGGGAUAGGGGAGGAUACCAUGCCCACUCUUCUCUCUAAAUAAAGCACGUGCUAGCUCUGAGCUCUGUCCAUUUCAGCCUUCUCCCAGACUGUGUCCACCACCCUCAAAGCCUCCACUUGCCACAAACCCAGCCUUGAAGACAAAAGGUUUCUAAAAGGAUUCCAUGUGUAUUUAGGCCUUCUCAAACCAUCUGCCUUAGGAGGUUCAUCCAUUUCUAAAGUAAGGCUUUAAGUACAAUGACUGCACUCAAAUUUACAAGGAUGCACAACCCGCAGGUCCCCAUCUGCAGUCAUUAAUCGAAGGGCCGUACACAUUUCCCCCUCAGGUCAGAGGCAGAGAGGAUUUACCAGUGACCAAACAGAGACCUCCUGGUGUCAGUAUUUUUUAAGUUCAUUUAAUGGUGUUAAUGGAGGAAGGGGAGAGUAACGGAAAAUGCAGGCAUGAAAAAAGACACUGAAUAAUGUUUUUCCACUGCUUGUUCAAUUAAUUCUUCUUAAGCAACCUUAACUCCAGUCACCACCUACAUCCUAAACAGCUGUGUUUAGCUAGCUGGCGAGGCUUUCUCAGGGUGUGUGAACAGGGACUACAGUAUGGUUUCAAAUCGUUGGUGAAUUCUCCCAGAAAAGCAUUAUUUAAUCAUAAUCCCAUAUGACCUGAUACAUUAAGCAAAAAUAGUCCAUAGAAAUAGCUAUCACUUUGUCAGUUCUGUGCAUGUAGCUGAACAAAAAUGAGUCAUGUUUGUUGUAU
rnacentral:lncRNA from 1 species